GAAAAGAGGAGCAAGAGGAGCACUUCUGACCAGGAAGUGCUGGCUCAGAGUAGGCAAAGGAAUGUCACUAUCUCAGGGAUCUUCUUCACAAAGCAGUUACAGCAACCGGGGCCAAGCAUCUUCCUACGGCAACCAGGGUUCUUCUUACAAUGACAAUAGGUGCUGAGUGAAAUAUAUGUGAAAAUAG